GAGACUCUGUGCGCGUGCAUAUCAAUAAGCGGAGGAAAAGAAACUAACAAGGAUUCCCCUAGUAACGGCGAGUGAAGCGGGAAGAGCUCAAAUUUGAAAUCUUCAAGGGUUCUACCUUUACGAAUUGUAGUUUAAUAGAAGUGUUUUCUGUUAGUGGAGUUGGCUAAAAGUUCUUUGGAAUAGGACAUCAUAGAGGGUGAGAAUCCCGUAUUUGUACAGUUACUUUCUAGCUUUGUGAUACACUUUCAACGAGUCGGAUUGUUCGGGAAUGCAGUCCAAAAUGGGUGGUAAAUUUCAUCUAAAGCUAAAUAUUGGCGAGAGACCGAUAGCGAACAAGUACCGUGAGGGAAAGAUGAAAAGAACUUUGAAAAGAGAGUUAAACAGUACGUGAAAUUGUCAAAAGGGAAGCGUUUGACACCAGUGUUGUUUAGUUCGAAAAUCAAUUCAAGAAUGUUUUGAUUUUGAGUAGUAUUGACUUCAUCAGCUUGCUGCUUUCUUUUCCGAAACUUAUUGAAUGCACUUUUCAGGUUAACAAGUCAACAUCGAUUUCUUUUGUUGUAAAAGGGUAAGAGGAAGGUGGCUUACGCUUCGGCGUAAGUGUUUAUAGCCUUUUACCUCUGCAAUCGGAGAGAUUGAGGACAGCAAGCGUAGACUCCUUCGGGGGUUAGAUACACUUGUGCUAAGCUAUAGCCUUGUAUAGACAACUUGUUGACUAUGCUCAGUCAUGUAGCUUACUCGCUUGUGCUAUUUUACCUACGCUUAGGAUGUUGACAGCAGUAUAGACUGU
rnacentral:rRNA from 1 species